AUUGAACGCUGGCGGCAGGCCUAACACAUGCAAGUCGAGCGGAGCGGCGGACGGGUGAGUAAUGCCUAGGAAUCUGCCUGGUAGUGGGGGAUAACGUCCGGAAACGGGCGCUAAUACCGCAUACUAUCAGAUGAGCCGAGGUCGGAUUAGCGAGUGGGUGGGGUAAAGGCCUACCAAGGCGACGAUCCGUAACUGGUCUGAGGGGAUGAUCAGUCAAACUGGAACUGGUCCACGGUCCGACUUCCUCCGGGAGGAAGCAGUGGGGAAUAUGGGACAAUGGGCGAAGUCCUGAUCCAGCCAUGCCGCGUGUGUGAAGAAGGUCUUCGGAUUGUAAAGCCCUUUAAGUUGGGAGGCGUUACCAACAGAAUAAGCACCGGCUAACUUCGUGCCAGCCGCCGCGGUAAUAC
rnacentral:rRNA from 1 species